UUCUUCUAAAGCCUGGACUUCCUUCGAACCCUUCUUUGUUUCUCACAGAAAGACAGCAUCGACUUGCUAAAGCUUUUAGCCUCAAAGGGACCGAAGUUCACCAAAGAAAAAUUGCAGUUUGCCCGAACCCAGUCUGUGGUAUUUUGUUAUGACAGCCCAAGAAGAUUAAAACAUCUGCUAAGAUUUAACAGUGUUGGGGCUUCCCUGGUGGUGCAGUGGUUAAGAAUCCGCCUGCCAAUGCAGGGGAUAUGGGUUCGAGCCCUGGUCCGAGAAGAUCCCACAUGCCGCGG